GGAGUCACGCGAAGUCGGAAGUACCAGCUGCGGGAAGGAGCUGCCCACUGUGCGUCUUCUCAACUUGUUGGGACAACCUUCCUGCGGAAAGGAGAGACAACCUUCCUGCAGAAAGGAGCUACCUGCUUCAGGUCUACUGAGAGCUGUUCUGCCACUCAAUAAAGCUCUUCUCCAUCUUGCUAAGCCUCCAUUUGUCCGCAAUACCUCAUCUCCCUGGACGCAGGACAAGAACUCAGGACCCGCCUGGAGGUACUAAAAGAGCUUUAACACAAACAGGGCUGAAACACGCUCCCUUGCUUGCCACAUUGCGGGUGACGAGAAGGAGAAAAGAGCUGUGUUCCUUUGAGGAUCCCAGACCUAGGGUCUCCCUGAGCCAGGGCUGUGACACUCCCUUUGGGGUUCUAUGGUUCCUGGCAUCUUCAAGCUUCCAGGCGCCACCACCUUCGUUCCCUUCAUCCAAACAGGUGCCCACAGCAGAAUCCACAUGCCGUCCAUCUGGUCCAGCCUCACGCAGAGCCACAACUGUGCUGGCGCCUGGAGCUGCCAGCCCCACUGCAGCAGCCGGACUGACAUUCAGACGUGGAGCAAGUUGGACUGCAUAGGGACCCACCAGUGAGAUGGACGCUGUCUGUAAACGG
rnacentral:lncRNA from 1 species